CAGAAGAUACUCAUCUCUCUCC
rnacentral:siRNA from 1 species